CCUACGGGCGGCAGCAGUGGGGGAUAUUGCACAAUGGGGGAAACCCUGAUGCAGCGACGCCGCGUGAGCGAAGAAGUCUUUCGGUAUGUAAAGCUCUAUUAGUAGGGAAGAAAAUGACGGUACCUGACUAUGAAGCUCCGGCUAAAUACGUGCCAGCAGCCGCGGUAAUACGCAUGGAGCAAGCGUUAUCCGGAUUUACUGGGUGUAAAGGGGGCGUAGGCGGUAAGGCAAGUCAGAUGUGAAAGGCCAGGGCUCAACCCUGGAACUGCAUUUGAAACUGUUUAACUGGAGUGUAGGAGAGGCAAGUGGAAUUCCUGGUGUAGCGGUGAAAUGCGUAGAUAUUA
rnacentral:rRNA from 1 species